rnacentral:rRNA from 1 species
CCUACGGGAGGCAGCAGUGAGGAAUAUUGGUCAAUGGACGCGAGUCUGAACCAGCCAAGUAGCGUGAAGGAUGACUGCCCUAUGGGUUGUAAACUUCUUUUAUAUGGGAAUAAAGUGUGCCACGUGUGGGAUUUUGUAUGUACCUUAUGAAUAAGGAUCGGCUAACUCCGUGCCAGCAGCCGCGGUAAUACGGAGGAUCCGAGCGUUAUCCGGAUUUAUUGGGUUUAAAGGUAGCGUAGGUGGAUUGUUAAGUCAGUUGUGAAAGUUUGCGGCUCAACCGUAAAAUUGCAGUUGAAACUGGCAGUCUUGAGUACAGUAGAGGUGGGCGGAAUUCGUGGUGUAGCGGUGAAAUGCUUAGAUAUAACGAAGAACUCCGAUGGCGAAGGCAGUUCACUGGACUGCAACUGACACUGAGGCGCGAAAGUGUGGGUAUCAAACAGGAUUAGAUACCCGAGUAGUC